CUCGCCUGGGAACUACAAGCUCAAGCUUAAAACCCAAAGGACUUGGCGGUGCUUUAGACCCACCUAGAGGAGCCUGUUCUAGAACCGAUAAUCCCCGUUCAACCUCACCCUCCCUUGCUUUUCCCGCCUAUAUACCGCCGUCGUCAGCUUACCCUGUGAAGGACUUAUAGUAAGCAAAAUUGGCACAGCCUAAAACGUCAGGUCGAGGUGUAGCGCAUGAGAGGGGAAGAAAUGGGCUACAUUCACUGACACAGUGAAUUACGAAAGAUGUUUUGAAACAACCGUCCGAAGGAGGAUUUAGCAGUAAGGAGAAAAAUAGAGCGUUCCCCUGAAACUGGCCCUGAAGCGCGCACACACCGCCCGUCACUCUCCCCAAGCUAAACAUCCUUAAUAAAUAAAACAAUAAAAUUGCAAAGGGGAGGCAAGUCGUAACAUGGUAAGUGUACCGGAAGGUGCACUUGGAAAAAU
rnacentral:rRNA from 1 species